CGGGAAUUUGAAGUGGCUGAAGGGGCGGCUGGGAGACUAAGACUUGAGGCCGCGCGCAGCGGAGCGGCGGAGGAGGCACCAGCGCCUGAGAGGAAGGUGAACGCCCGCCGGGCCGGGCCAGGAGCCGCCUCCGAGCGAGGCCGGAGCGUCGGGAUCCUCUGGGAACGGCUUGGGCCGGGCCGGCCUUGCGCGGCCGGUAUCCCUCUUAGGACGUCCGGCUCGGGAGGGACCCGGGGCAGGGCUCCCCUCUCAGCUUCCCGGAGACUGCAGGGGGCUGGGCUGCGCCAGGGGUUCCCCACCUGGGUGGGCUUCAAGGAACUGCCGCGAGCUGUGGAGCGAGGGCUCACUUUUCCAGCUGCAUCUCCGCGGAGAUCUGAGCCAUUCGUUCUCGGGAAGGAAAGGGCAGCCCUGGGCCUACGCAGCUGUCCUGAGCGCCCAGGGCAGGGCGGCCCCAAGUCAGACGAGCAACCUGCGGACGGGGUCCAGAAAUGGAACCGGGUCCCCUCGUUCUCGGUCAUUUCUGCCUCUUCACUCGUCAGGGAGGCAAGAAAACUGAGGCACAGAGAGAUUGUCACGCAGCCAGUAAGGUGCUAUGCCCUCUAAGGUUCAUGCGUGUCAGUGUUUGUGAACAGCACGUGCUUUGGUCAUCUCAUCUGUGGAAUCAGGUUUCUUUCAAAAUGAAGAUUCACACAGUGAUUGUAACUGUCGUGAUAAGCCAGGUUCUAGUUUACAUAGUUUUAUUCCAGAAGGAAAAAAAAGCCACUUUACCUAGAAUUUUCCAACCAAAUCAACUUUUGCUCUGAGUAAUCCAGGGCCUAUCAAGACUACAUUUUAGCUGACUGCAAGGCCUCUGAGGCAAGGGAAUUCACAGCUGAGUUCUUGGAGAAGGUCCUUGAGCCAUCUGGAUGGCGGGCAGUCUGGCACAUAAUGUGCUCAAGGUGCUGCUUGAGGUAAAGUUAAUUUUGUUGUUAAGACAUUUGUCUCAAGCUAUAAGCACUUUACUUUAGACUGUUAGAGCCAAAGCGCUUAUUUUUAAUUAAAGUUUAUGAGCUGAUUGAAAUAGCAUGUUUUUCACAUCUAAUUGCCGUGGUGUAGGAAGUGUUCCGCAAAUUUUAAAGGCAACUGAGGAGGAGCUGUAGGGAUUUAAAGUGGCUUAAGUUUCAGUGUCCUUUGUCAAGGGAAACUGGAUUAUAAACCUGUGAAGUGGAGGAAGUAUUUGAGAUCAUUUAAAAAAUGAGGAGGCCUCAUUAUGAGGUCAACAGUUUCUGUUAAUUUUUUACCUUCUUACUUGAAGCCCAUUAAGUAGCUCAAACCAAAGAGGCGUUUUAAAACUAUCCCAUUUGGCCUAGCAAAUUUGUAGCUAUGUGGUUAAUCUCUUGAUAAUGUGUUUCAUUGCAGAAAGUAAAAACAAUCUUAUUUUUCAACUGACUGGGCCUUUUACAUUAAAUUUGCACUCUAAUUACAGCUGUGAAUUUUUCUCAGUGUUUGUUAACUGAACCAAAAAAAGCCCUGUUAAGAUAAAAUGUUAAACCCGGGAGUGCGCAUACAAGUUGUUGCUGCAGCUCCUUUAGAAAG
rnacentral:lncRNA from 13 species